rnacentral:pre_miRNA from 1 species
CUAUUACCAGGAAGCUAGCACAUUUAAAGAAUCAGAGAGAUUCAUUUUUUCUGAAUCUCUCUGAUUCUUUAAAUGUGCUAGCUUCCUGGUAAUAA